rnacentral:lncRNA from 1 species
GUCCUGUAGGUCAAGGUUGGCUCCUGACUCUUUUAUUUUCCUUUAGGUAUAAGAGUGGAUCUGCAGAGAUUGGGUGUGAGGAUUUCUGGCAUGUGACCCAGUCCUCACUGCUCCUGGUUCCCUAUUCUGCCCUCUUUGGAAUCUUCUGGCCCUGAGAGAUCUGUGAAAAGAGGAGAAAAUGGCACCUGAGUUCCUGGCAGCAAGACCCCCAGAACAAAGCAGCUGCCUGAGCAUGAAGGCCACGGGACGCCCCCCACGAGUUCCACCUUUGGCGGAGACAACACCUCCUGAAACUCCCUCUGGAUGUUCCAGGUGGAGUUUGGACAGGCUGCAGAGAGUUUCCCCCAGCAGAGCCACUGGGGCUCAGGGGAUUCCCUUCCUAACAGGGAGGGCAAGAUGUGGGAACAUGUAGAAGCUGGAGCCACCUCAGAGUCCAAGGAGACAGCACUGCCUUCUGAGGGCUCUGCCCUUCUUCAGGAAGAGGAGGAAAUGCCCAAAUUACAGGUAAGUUAGAAUCCACCUUCUCUCCCUGGAAAUAUCACCGAAACACCUCCUGUUGAUAUUGGGGAAAGAGAGCAAUAUAAUGCAUAUAUUGUGCUGGCCCUGGGCUAGACAUGUAUUACUCCAGUUUCUCAAAAAAUAGUUGUCUGAGCCCUGCUGGUAGGAGUGUAAAAUGCUAUAAUAUACUUUGGACAACAGUUUCAGAGUUUCUUAUAAAAUUAAGCACACACUUAUUGACCCAGAAAUCCCACUGUUAGUAUUUACCCAGAAGAAACGAAAAUAUACAUUCACCCAAAAAUCUGAAUGUCUGUUCAUUAGCAGCUGUGUUCAUAAUAGCCUCACACUGAAAACAACCCAAAUGUCCAUCAGUUGAUAAAUGGAUUAAAAAAAGUGUUAAUCUGUAUAAUUAAGAACUACUCAGUAAAAAAAAAAAAAAAGGAACAAAUUACUGAUACUUAUAAUAGCAUGAAUAAAUCCCAGAAGCAUUAUGCUGAGAGAAAUAAGCCAGACACAAAAGUGCUAUGUGUGUCCACUUUUAUGAAAUUCUAGAACAGGCUAAAUUUACUUAUAGUGACAGCAGAUCAGUGGUUGUUGAGAGCAGGGAUUGGGGGCCGGGAUCAGCUGGGAACAGAUAGGGCAAAGGAACUUUCUGGAGUGAUGGAAAUGAUCUAGAUCAUGACUGGUAUGAGUUACACAGGGAUAUUCUUUUGUCAAAACUCAUCAACUGGUACACCUGAGAGCUUGUUUGGAGGUUCUAGCAGGGGAGCGCAGCUACUCAUAUACCCUUGACCGAGAAGAACGGUCCUCCUCUUCAGGGAUGGUUGUUCUCUUUGACCGAGCUCGCAGCUUCAGGAAGGAUGCGCAUGGAGCCGUGAGGGAGGAAGGGGACAUCCACCGAGACAGCCAGAUCAGCCGAAUCAACCCUGGCGUUCAGUGGGGUGACAGAUGUCACAGCCAGAUCGCCCUCAUAUCCUAUCAACCGGUACACUUAAGAUUCAUGUAAUUCACUGUAUAUUUAAACCUCAAUUAGAAAAAAAUUGUAAACAGAAACAACAUUAAAAAAAAAACAAAACCCAACUCAAUAUUGAGGACAUACCUAUUUUAAGAGAAGAGGAAGGAGGAUCAGAGAAGGUAAUUCUUUUUUACCCAGAAUCAUCUGUUUGACCUCUUCAGCUUUGCAGAAAGCAUCAUAGAGGCUGGCUUGACAUUCUCUUGCCCUCCGUGUGUUCCCAUCAUCCCCCCGUUGUGAGUUACCAGCCCUUUGUAAGCUCUCUUAUCCUCAUUCUUUAUUUGACAGGCUUAAUAUUUGUGCUGAAAAUCGGCCAGAGACCAGGCUGCUGGGGUUUGACACCUGUCUGUUGUCUGAUCCUUGCUCCCUCCCCAGUUCCCCCUCAGAGCUGUUCUGUGCCUUCCCCUCUCUCUGCAUGCUUCGAACGACCCCCUCCCCAGGAGAGAACCCCCUCUGCCCCACAGUGGUAGCCACUAUUCUGACUUCUAGUAUUGUAGGUUAAUUCCACCUGAUUUUGAACUUUUCAAGUAGAAUCAAGUGUACCCACAGUAAAUACUCUUUUGUGCCUG